UAUUUUACCCCUUUCUCGCUUGCUGUAUAUAUCUUCCAGUACCAAACUUAUAUAUAAAGUUUGGUACUGGAAGAUAUAUACAGCAAGCGAGAAAGGGGUAAAAUAUCU